rnacentral:rRNA from 1 species
UACAGAGGGGGCAAGCGUUGUUCGGAAUUACUGGGCGUAAAGGGCGCGUAGGCGGCCUUCUAAGUCGAACGUGAAAUCCCACGGCUCAACCGUGGAAGUGCCCCCGAUACUGCUUGUCUUGAGGGAGAUAGGGGCGUGCGGAACUUCCGGUGGAGCGGUGAAAUGCGUAGAUAUCGGAAGGAACACCGGUGGCGAAAGCGGCGCGCUGGAUCUCUUCUGACGCUGAGGCGCGAAAGCCAGGGGAGCAAACGGG